AGAUUGAACGCUGGCGGCAUGCCUUACACAUGCAAGUCGAACGGCAGCAUGACGUGUAGCAAUACACGUUGAUGGCGAGUGGCGAACGGGUGAGUAAUAUAUCGGAACGUGUCCUGUAGCGGGGGAUAACCUAUCGAAAGAUGGACUAAUACCGCAUACGCUCUACGGAGGAAAGCGGGGGUCGCAAGACCUCGCACUAUAGGAGCGGCCGAUAUCGGAUUAGCUAGUUGGCGGGGUAAAAGCCCACCAAGGCGACGAUCCGUAGCUGGUCUGAGAGGAUGAUCAGCCACACUGGAACUGAGACACGGUCCAGACUCCUACGGGAGGCAGCAGUGGGGAAUUUUGGACAAUGGGCGCAAGCCUGAUCCAGCCAUGCCGCGUGAGUGAAGAAGGCCUUGGUGUAAAGCUCUUUCGGCAGGAACCGAAAGUUGGUUACGUAGUUAACUACCACGGACUGACUGACGUACGUGAAGAAGAAGCACCGCUAACG
rnacentral:rRNA from 1 species